AUAGUUUGUUGAGCCCAUUAUGAUUUUAUUAUACCGUUUAUUGUGGAUGUGCUGAUGGAUAAGCAGAUAAGGCGAUUCUACCUGCAUACACAUGUUUGGUCGAACAUAAAAUAGUACAAGGUUGUUUAUAUAAACUGAACUGUGAGAUCGAUUGGAUGAAGCCUUCGCAUACGGACUCCUGUAAUUCUACGUCUCCUUGGAAGGCGCCCAGCCAGACGAUUUGGAUGAUACUAAGUAACAUAGUUCGCAGCCUGUGUAUUUGGAUUUUGAAGACUUUUACGAACCCCAAAAGAAAAACUCACUCAACAACGUUGGUACCUGUAGGACCUUGCCAUGGAUGUGCUACCUUAAACAAAAUUGUAUUCAAAUUUAGAAAGAAACUGCGUCGAUUCUCAAAUCAAUAUUUUGUAGAAUUCUGUCGAUGUUAAAGACUCAGGAAUCCAUAAAGCUCAAUCUGCGAACGUUCAUGGACAACAUUUGAUCAUACAUGGUACCUAGUUGACCUAUGUAUCCUUGGUUAUUCCAUAACAUGGAUAUAGUCCUAGCGAACCUAAAGGACAACGUUUUUGCAAAAUGCGUAGGAGCGGGCUCCAAAAUAUGCAUGCAUUUCUUGAACAGCCGCCACCAGCAACAGUGCCGCCCCCCCCCGAAAUGGUUGCUAGUUGACUAGCAUAUCCUUGGUUAUACCAUGCCAUUGAUAUAGUCCUUGGGAACCUAAAGGACCAUUGAUAUGGUCCAAAAACAUGUAUGCUUUUUCUUUCAGGAGCCCUUUUACAUUGGCUGCAGCUGCCGCUGUUGUUGAACAACCGGCUUACAGCGUUUAUUUAACAUGAGCUACUAUUUAACAGCACUCAUUUUAAAUGAGUUACAUUUCUGCCCCUUAAUGCUAUGCAAUGAAUAUUUUUAUUCAAAACACUCGGCGACCUUCUGCGCAUUUCUGUUCGCCUGGUAUUUGAGUGGAAUUUUUGGGCAAAUUUGGGGCGUAGCCGCCGACCAGGGCGCCCCGUGAGGGUAUGCAAUGGAUUUUUUCGGCCGCAAAAAUAUUCUUUAUCGACCUUCUGGGCAUUUCUGUUUGCCUGGUAUUUUUCGGAAAUUUCACUAAAAAUUUUGCACCCAGCCGGCGGCUGGGGUGCCCCUUUCGGGUAUGCUAUGAAAUUUUUCGUUCAAAUAAAAAUAUUCUGUGUCGACCUUCUGGGCAUUUCUGUUCGCCUGGUAUUUUGGCAGAUUUGCAGAAAAAUCUCGGCAGCCAGCCGGUUGUAAACAAACGCCCCUCGCGGGUAUGCAAUAGAUUUCUAAAAACCGUUGAUUUUUUA